rnacentral:sRNA from 1 species
GGUUGUGGGGAAGAAAACUGAGACCUAAAAAGGUGAAGCGGUCGUCCCAAAGGCUUCCAGCUGCUCCCAGUACUCAAGGACUUGGAGCACACUUGGGGAAAUGCUCACUGUUGUAUUCCCAUUCCUCACUAUCCGGGAGGCCUGAACUCUCAAACUCCGAAUCUGAUUUCCACUCUCCCAGGAAGGCUUCGGAAAUCACUUUUUUCUUCUUCUCUAUGGGUCAGCUUUCUACUCAGCAUACCUUCUUUCCUGGAAGCAAAAUGGUUGCACCAAGUCCAGGCAUCACCACCCAUAUACCAUGUUUUCCAGAAGGAAAGAGAGCUUCUCUUGACCCACUUAUUGAACAAAGUCUUGAACUUCGUCUGAUUAGUUCAACUUAGUUCAUCCCUGAACCAGUCAUGGUGGAUCGUCAAUACAGGAGUCCAUACUGACUCAAUCCCUAAUUUUGGCCUGUAUUCUUCUCCCUGUCUGAACCAUCUUCUUAGAAGGCACUGAACCAAGAGUGCCAGAAAACCAUCCCAAGACUCACAUAGUUGUUCCUCCAUAGUGGAUGUUUUGGCCACUGGACAUCAGAACCACAUAUUGGGUUUGAAGAAUCUUCUACAUG